rnacentral:lncRNA from 1 species
UUUUACUUGCUUUUUUGUAUUUUUAUUCUAUUUCAUUAUAUAUUUACUUCAUACAAUAGUUAAUUUGUUAUUUCUACAGAUUCCAUCAAAGAUAAAUGAGAGAGAAGAUUGAAGUUUAUUUUUGAUGCUACUGAAAAAGCAAGUCGUCUCCUAUGGUGUUUUAUCUGUUAAGUUAUCAUCUUGGAGACUUAUAGUUAAUUAAGGAACACUAGAAAACUCCAGAUGCCAUUAAAUUAAGGAGCAUUCGUUGUAUCAGUCCUCAUUUGCUCCACAAAAUAAAUGUGUACUUAAAGUCCUAAAGAAAGCAUGGAAGUGCCUUUUUUCCAUUGGGAAUGAAGACAGUGUGCUGUUGCUGUAGGAAGGAUUCAUGACAGUAAAUUUAUUGUCUAACGAACAAAUGAGAAGAAAAAUUGCAGUUAAUUUUGAUGCUGUAGAAACAACCGUUGCUUUUGGGGCAUUGGUUGUCUCAGUCAUCAAGUGGCUGUGCCUAUGGUCCUAAAAAAAGCAUGAAAACGCCAUUUUUCCAUUGAGAACGGAGACAGUGUGCUGUUGCUGAAGAAAGGAUUUAUGACAAUGAACUGAUUGUCGUAACAAAUUAGAAGGAAUUGGUGCUACUGAAACAACCGAUGCUUUUGAUGUUUUCAUCUUGCAACAUUAUGCAGUAAGUUUUGGCCCUGAGAAUGGGAGGCAAAUUGAAAUUAAUUUGGAAGCCACUGAAACAAGAAAUU